rnacentral:piRNA from 1 species
UAAAUAAAAGGUGUAUACAUAUAGCUCA